GAAAGAAACAAGAAUAGAGGAGAAAGAGGCAAGACUAUGGAGAAGAAGAAGAAGCUUGGAGAUUUUCAUCAAUGGUGCCAAAUUGAAGAUGCAAAUAGAGACCCUUUGAGUUGCUUCCAUUGAUAAGGUAUUCAAGUAUGAAGAUUUAGUUGUCGUUACUCGAAUCGGUUGUCGCUCUGAUACGUAGCACUCUGGGGGGAACGAUUUAUGUCAUUUAUGAUGUUGUUGUUUAAUUGUGUUAUCUUGGUUGAACAAAAUGAUAAGUUAACUGAGGAUAUUUUAUUGAAUACAUUCUUAAGCGAUUCCGCUGUGUUUUAAUAAAAUAAGUUAUUCUGUUUCAAA